AACUAGGAUUAGAUACCCUAUUAUAUUUAAAUGAAAUAGGUAGUACUUAUAUUUUAGAAAACCUAUGCAAUUUGGCGGCAUUAAUUCAUAUUAGAGGAACCUGUCUUUUAAUCGAUACCCCACGAUAAUUCUUACUUUUACUCACAUUUUAUAUACCUCCAUCUUAAGUGUUGAUAAUUAUACCUACCCUAAAUAGAUAUUUAAAAAGUUAGGUAAAGGUGUAGACUAUGUAAAAGAAAAGGUGGGUUACUAUAAAUUUUAUUUAAGGAACUCUCUUUAAAAUUUUUAGUAAAAAAGGAUUUAUUAGUAAUUAGAGAAUAUUAUUCUUUAUUGAAAUUGAUAAACAAUGUGUACACAUCGCCCGUCGCUC
rnacentral:rRNA from 1 species